rnacentral:rRNA from 1 species
UACGGAGGGUGCGAGCGUUGUCCGGAAUCACUGGGCGUAAAGGGCGCGUAGGCGGCGCGGAUAGUCGGCGGUGAAAGCCCGGAGCUCAACUCCGGGUCGGCCGUCGAUACUUCCGGGCUUGGAGCACUGUAGAGGCAGAUGGAAUUCCGGGUGUAGCGGUGGAAUGCGUAGAGAUCGGGAAGAACAUCAGUGGCGAAGGCGGCCUGCUGGGCUGUUGCUGACGCUGAGGCGC